GGAGAGGUUUGUCAGAGUGCGCAUGCCCGGGUGUUUGUUUUGGUUGCCAUUGUUGUUCUCUAGUUGGCCCUUGACAAAAAUAACCAUAGUAACCAUACAGUAGUUCCGGCCAAAAUAUCAUUAUUCGGCUCCUAAAUGUAUUAUUCUAACAAUGAAACAGUGGUAAACUGCUGUUAUGGAAAACAAAACUAAAUGAUUCAAUAGUUGUCAUGGUAACUUUAUACGUCCACCUGUUUGAUGUGUCCAAAUGGGUUUCUGCAAAGGGGAAAUCUUGAUUUACAUUAAGUUAAAUUUAAUUUCACUUUUAUUGUCAGGAUUUCCCCCCAAAAUAAAAUUGUUGUGCAUCGUACACAGUUUCACUUUAAUAGAUAACAAUCAAAUCUCAAUACCACACAAUAUAAUAACAUCAACAUAAUAAUGCAUCCAUACUUAAAUUUUUAACGGCUGCCAAAUUUUUAACCAAAUUUCCUUUGUUAGUUUUAGCAAUAAAGGUAAAGACAAUGACAGUAUUUAAAUAAACAGUAACUAUGGCAUUUUGGUUACCAUGGUGUCUUUUUGGCGGGUAGCAUUUAUUGCAACGUUUUGACUUUUGAUUUCAGAUUAAUUUAGUCUUUAAAAAAUGCUGUGUAAUUUUCUAAGGGAUAAACCCAACCCAUUGGGUUAUGCUUAACCUAUGCUUGUUAUUUAACCCAUUGUUGCAACAAAUAUAAAGAUUUUCGGUUUGUGACCCAACUUUUUUUAACCCAAAAAGAACCAAGCAUUUUUUUAAGUGUAUCUAUUGCAUUUGUUAGAUUCAGCACAUUAAUGUGUGUUUACAAGUGUGCAUUUAUUUGCAUUUUACAUCUGCUAAAAACAGAUUUUAGAGUCAGAACUGUCAAUAAUAGAAUAUUUGAGGUCUCUACUGAUAUGUGUGCACUUGUUCGUUUAAUCUUGUAGUUAUUUAUCUUGACCUGGCAGAAAACGUAGACUUGACAUUGACAGCUUUAGCUCAUUUAGUUUUGGGUUUGUUUGUUUUUGGUUUUGCCAAAUCAUGAAUCUCUCUGUAUAAAUCCAGUGAGUCAAAAGCUUUGCUUUGUUAUCCCAUCUGUCUGUCUCUCAUUGUUGCCUUAGUGACUGAAUGUUGUUGAUUUAUAAGCACAGAAACAGAAUCAGCCACUGACUGAGUAACUCUUGCCUACUGUAUAGUAACAUGCUGCUGUCAGGCAUAAGGAUUUUUGGUUUGGUCUAUAAUUCCAGCAGUUAUUUGUGCCUGUCCAGAGGUUUAUGAAGGAGACUGAUUCAAAUCACCAUAUGUCAUCAUUUUCAAAUUUUCUUACCAUCUGUUAUUUUCUCUCUGAUGGAAGAGUUGAUGAUGGAUUACGCUGAUUAUUUUUGGACUAGUUAGAUUGAAGGAAUAGUUUGCCCAAAAAUUUACUUUCUAUGAUUAUUGACUCGCAUUCAUGUCGUUUCAAACUGGAUAUUUUUCUGAAUGUAGCCCACAUGUUCCUUCCAAAGCUUUGUGUGAGGUUCAGACCAAAUUACAGUGAUUAUUUAUUCUAAACCCUCCCCUUCUUUAAAUACUCACAUGUCAUUGGUUAAUACUGCAUGUUCAGAUUAACACAUUGUGAUAGGUUUGAUGUCACCGAUGGACUUGUCGUUAACGAUCAUGCAACUCUUGUUUGAAUAUCCGGGAUAAAAUUUCAGAGUUAAAAGUGUUUCUUUUGAAAAUGUUCCUUUUGUGUUCCAUGGAAAAAGUUACAUCACUCUGAUUUGGAAGGACAUGAGGGAGAAUAAAUGAUGAUAGUAUUUUCAUUUUUGGGAGCAUAUAGUCCUCAAGGAGUAGAAGAGACUGGAACACAAAAUGCAAUAAAACCAAGCGAGAGAACAGGAUGCCUCUUAUUUUUGGAACAUAAAUAAAUGAACACGAGUAGGUGCCAUUUCACUCUUUCCAAGGUCACAAACCGGAAUAUCAAAGAAUUCCCACCAUGCAGCUAAGGAAUCCGGUUCAUGAAUAAACAAUAACCUCAGAGUUACUGUCCUUGUGCCACACUAAAUAUGGGAUUUAUUCGGCCUAAAAAUAAAUGUGUGUGGGAAACUUUCUCGCUGUUUGGUUUUAACUCAAAUUUUCCGUAAUAAGAAAUUUCCUCGGCCGAACUGUAAGCAAAAAAGAUUUGGGAAGACCAACAUCCAAGCAGAUGGACACCUGCCUUCCACCCGUGCAUGAGGCAGAAGAACAUCAGGAAAAAAUGCCUUUACACUUUCCACCGUUAACAAGCUUCCUGCAUUUGAGCCUUGGGUACAUAGUGGGAUUUCCAGGCGGAGAUUGUACAACUUAGCAAAGGAUGAAGUUUAAGGCACUUUGGAUUGGUCUGUGAGGGUGUUUCCCACAAGGAAGCAUCUGUGGUGAACACACUUCACAGGUUUUCUGACCACCAUCAUGACCACCUACCCUGUUUCACUGUAGGUUCGGAAAACACUAAACUUGGCGAGGACACUUUGGAUCGACGCGUGAAAGCAUGGGCCGCGGCUCACCGCAGCUGAGUUGGUCACACAUCACAGCAGCAGUUUGGCAGAAAUGGUGAGAUUUGUUUCUGUGACUCUUCACCCUCGGAGAAUCCAGGAUACGUUCCCAUAUGUUGGCAACUCAAAGUGAAUCAAAGCCGGAUAAGGAAAAAUGGUUGUUUAGUGUGUUUUGUUGAGUUGUUAAACUACCGGAAGGUAGCUUGUGAAUAAAUCAUUACUGCACUGAAAACCUCAAACUUCAGAAGAAAAAUAAUUU